CUGGUCCAGUGGGACCAAACGGAAACGGAAUCGGAGGCCGGGAUCAUGAGUUACGGCCGAAACCGGCAAAGCCUAUUAAGCGGCCCCCGAUCUUGCCCAUUUUUCGCCCUUCAAACUGCCGCGCGGCUACCCCCCCAUCCCGAUGCCCCCGGACCGCUGGUCCCGUGGGACGAAACGGAAACGGAAUCGGGGCCCCCGAUCAU
rnacentral:lncRNA from 1 species